rnacentral:ncRNA from 1 species
ACAAAAGCAACGAUUAAGAAAUAGUAAAAAAUGUGAGUCUUUACAGAGAGGGAGCAUUGGUGAGAGUUCCUAAGAUAAUGUUUUUGAACCAGUCUUUUAGCAUAAAAACGGUAAAAAGUUUUUACGGUAGGGACCGUUACAUCCCCAUGAGAGAGCUUAUUACAAGCUAAUUAGAGUGGUACCGCGGAAAUAUAACCUUUCGUCUCUUUU